UACGGAGGGUGCGAGCGUUGUCCGGAAUCACUGGGCGUAAAGGGCGCGUAGGCGGCGCGGUAAGUCACUUGUGAAAUCUCUGAGCUUAACUCAGAACGGCCAAGUGAUACUGCAGUGCUAGAGUGUGGAAGGGGCAAUCGGAAUUCUUGGUGUAGCGGUGAAAUGCGUAGAUAUCAAGAGGAACACCUGAGGUGAAGACGGGUUGCUGGGCCAACACUGACGCUGAGGCGCGAAAGCCAGGGGAGCAAACGGG
rnacentral:rRNA from 1 species